AAGGAUAUAUUCGGAACAUCUUCUUUAGAAGAUGAYAAAGGAAUAAUAUUGACAUAUUGUAUUCAGUUUUGAAUGCUCAUYAGAGUAUUCUAUUUAUGAGGGGCCUAUAGCUCAGCUGGUUAGAGCGCACGCCUGAUAAGCGUGAGGUCGGUGGUUCGAGUCCACUUAGGCCCACCAUUUUUUGUACAUUGAAAACUAGAUAAGUAAGUAAAAUUUAUGAUUUUACCAAGCAAAACCGAGUGAAUAAGAGUUUUGAAUAAGCUUGAAUUCAAAAAGAAAUAAUCGCUAGUGUUCGAAAGAACACUCACAGAUUAAUAACAUUUUGAGUUUUCAACCGACGGUUGUCGAGUUGGAAAGCAAAUA
rnacentral:misc_RNA from 1 species